AAUGUGAAUUGCAGAAUUCAGUGAAUCAUCGAAUCUUUGAACGCACAUUGCGCCCUUUGGUAUUCCGAAGGGCAUGCCUGUUCGAGCGUCAUUUCACCACUCAAGCCUGGCUUGGUAUUGGGCGUCGCGGUGUUUCCGCGCGCCUUAAAGUCUUCCGGCUGAG
rnacentral:rRNA from 1 species